AAAUUUAGACAGCCUUCCUUUUGGAAGCAUAAAAAACUGAGCAAUGUGCCUCUCCUCCUUCUCCAAAGACCUUGAGAAUAUCUCCAGCUGUAACAUGAAUAAAUACCUAGUAAAUACAAACCAAAUGGGAAGACAGAAAAUCAGAGGCAGAAAGUGGAAAGAAUACUGUCACCUCCCUUUCCUACCCCUUCCAGAUCUAUUUUCUUCAUCUGAGCAUACUUUCUAUUUUAUGGUGACAGACUAAAUAUGAACAUCUAAAUGUUCACCUAAUAUGAUAUCCAGACACAAAAUUGGAGUCCUGCUGUGCUGCAGUAGUGCUUAUUUCUUAGCAGUUGCUCCUGGUAGAACCAUUGCAGGCUUUACAUCUUCUGUCCUCAAAAGAAGCAAAGCUUCACAUCAAAUGGUCUGAUUUUCCAACCAGUCCUGACUAUGGCAGCUUUACAUCUCAUAUUUUCUGGCUUAAAAUAUUAGCUAAAAGAAAACUAAUAACUAUUGGAGAAAUAGGCAACAAUGGAGCUCAAGGAUUGCUAUUUCUGUCUAAGAAGCACCCUGCUGUUGUCGUCUUCUGGCUAUGCAUCAAGACACCGUAGUUCCUGGUUUGUCAUCUCCGUGAUGGAUUGCACAGCCUCCUCCUUCCCGCUGUGGAGUGGAGCAGAGCACAUCACAUCAAUUCUGUGCACACUGACAGACCCAUUUUAAGGUCUCCCUUCUCCGACCGUGUGUUCUUCAACAGACUAUGCCAAAAAUGUCUCUGCUUCUCUAUUAGUAAAUAUGAGCACUAACAAAUGUAACAUAAAAGCGAGAAAUUAGAAAUGUAGGGAAAAAAUACACAAACACAUUAUGGGAAAAGAGAAGUGGGUAGGGGCUUUGGUGUGUUUACCUAAGGAGAAAAUAUAUUGUUUGAAUAUUUUUGCUUUAAACAAUAAGCAUUUCUCUUUGAAAUAAAAUAAUUGUAAUGCAUAUGYAUGUAAUUAAUAGCAUUGUUUGUGCUGCUGUUCAGAUCUUAAAUAUGUUUCUGUAAGUUCUCAUGUUGAUAUAACUUUCCCAUGCCAGUGUGGUACCAUAUCUUAAUCAUUUUUCAGCCUUCUAACAUUUAAACUUAGAACUUGUGUUAUUAGGCACCUAUUUACAUUUUAAUUCUGAGCUCUACAAAUGUCAUUUUAUUUGUAAGUCAACAGUUCUGACAUUUGGUUUCCAGUCAUGUAGUUUUCUUUCAGAUAGAGAAAUGUCAGUGAGUGAGCAACGUAUGUGCAUAUUUAAUAUGUGAAAUAUCUCCAAAUAUCUCCAUCUCUAAUACUCUCSUUAUGUGUCAUCACUGUAAAGGUUCUAUACUUACUGCAAAAAUUCAAGUAAGUUUGUCCUUGUUAUUCAUUACACUUUUUAUACAUAAUUGAGAAUUGUAUAUGCCUUAAACAUUUUUCUAACUCAUGAUGUAAUUUAAUGUUUGAUAAGUAUCUUUGCUCCCACAGCUAUUUUAAUUUCAGUACAGGUUUCCUCAGGAAGCAAGGAGGGAAAAUUUUUACCUGGCUUUAAUUUCCAAAUGCUUCAUGUCCAACAGAAGACUUUACUAAAAUACUCAUGAAAAAAGGAAUUCUUUCAAGCCUGUAGGAUUUGGAGCAAAGGGAAAAAAGCUUUAUUUUUCAGUUCAACCAGACACCCUAAAUAGGCAAUAGAAAUUGCAUCCUCACUUUGAACAUUAGUUUGGCAACAUGACCCAUCUUUGAAUUAUUAACAGAAGAAACUUUGAAAUGAAGGCUCUWGUUACACAGUAUUUGGAAAUUUAAAUUUGGUGGGUUUUUUUCCAGUGUGGUUUUCUCAGACAACUUAUCCUGGACCAGAUGCAUUUUUGUGUGAUGAAAAGUGAUAGAU